rnacentral:tRNA from 1 species
GGCUAGCUCAGUCGGUAGAGCACGAGACUCUUAAUCUCAGGGUCGUGAGUUCGAGCUCCACUUUGGCUU